rnacentral:lncRNA from 1 species
GAAAAAGUCCUAGGAUAAACGGGAAGCAUUCUCAAGACUAUCAUUUCCGGGGUGAAAACUGAAUUCCGACAGUGAGGGACCCUAAGGUCAAAAGAAGGUUCAUUUCCUUGCUUUUGAAAAAUGGUACUUCCUAAAUUUUUAUCGUGGUUUUAGUUCAAAUUUGUAUCAAAAUUACGACAAAAAUUUAGAAUCGGAGGAAUUGUACGGAGUAGUGGAUUUUAUGCAGGAUUUCUUUUGUCAACCUUGAGUUGGAUCCAUUUGAGAGCUCUGUGAACUCGGGUCACAAACUAACAAUUCUUGCAUCUCUGUUCUGUUCACGCACUUGUACUGUUUUACAUCCAUUCAUUCAGACGUCCAUGCAUACAAUCCAAGUAAAUUUUCUUAUCUUACUCGCUCCGAUUCAUAAAAAAUGUCGCCCAUUUUGUAUGAAGUACAAAUUUGGUGUCAAGUGGACGACACUUUUUAUGAAUCGGAGCGAAUACUUAUUACUGAUCAUUGGCUUCUUGCACACUGAUCUAUCAGAUUUUAGGUACGUGGGUGCAUGUCAUUGUACUACAUCAGUACUUUGGUGAUCUUGCUGCAGAAGUUACACCGAUGCAUGAUCAAACUAUCUCCAUCUCCGAAGCAAGGUGUGGAGACAUGACUGAACAACAAGAGGCGCUGUCGAACAAAUGGAAGGCAGCAGUGUAUAAUAGUGUCACAUGCCAACAGAAAACCAGCAAAUCAACACUUGGACUGCCGCCUACUUAGUUUAUA